UAGCUCUUGCUGGAGAAGCAGGGCACGUGCAAUUUCUCUCGAAAUUGCACGUGCUCCCCUUCUCCAACAUGGGUUU
rnacentral:pre_miRNA from 1 species